AUCACUUCUCGGCCAUUUGGAUAAGAUCAAGUGUAGUUUCUGUUCUUAUCUGUUUAAUAUAUGAUACGUCCUCUAUCCGAGGACAAUAUAUUAAAUGGAUUUUUGGAGCUGGGAUUCAGAAGAAGAGCUUGCUCCGUCCGCUCUGCGCAUCGAACUGUUAUUGCAGUACAUCCAGGAAAGGUGUACCUCCC